ACACUUUUGGAGGGAAGGCAAUCCCGCGCUCUGUUAGCUAAAUUUCCAUGUCAUCCGGGUGUAGUUCGUAAAGGUUGAAGUGUGUAUGUUAGGAUGGUAACGUUAUUAUAAUUAAGGAUGAAGUGUGAAUUCAUGCCAGGCACUGCAGAGGCUCAGAAGACGCAUGGAAACUCUAAAAGAACCAUAAUUCAACUUGUAGGCCAGAUUUGAAAAGGAAAUAAUAAAUCCUGAAGCUCAGAUGUCAGACACCGAGGCUGCCUGAUAGUCUAUGUGUUGGAUGAUGCACUGCCGUUGAUCAGAACAGACCGUGUAUAUUACAGUUGACCAAAGCUAUACUUGGAUACAAGACUGAUGACUCAAUAACCCGUAUUGACAACAGUGAAGAUGGUUAUGUCCCAGGGCCAUCAGGAUCAUCAGAGGAAGGCAAUUUCUAUGAAGAAAAUCUGACCGGAGAGAUGUCAGUGAUUCGGGCCAAUUACCAAGGGAAAGGUGGGACAAAAGAGGCUCACACGUUAAGCAUGUUUCCUGCUUCCUUCGCCAUGAAAGACAGAGGGGAGUCCAGGACUAGGACACAAGAGACCAGUCAGAACAGUUCUGAGAACAGCCUGACUGACAUCCUCAGUGUCCGGUGUGCCAGUGAUAUUGUCCUACAGCCAAUGCCACCAGGGAGAAAGAAUAGCCGAUCCCACUUCCACAACAUGGAUGUGACGAAAGAGAGGGCUGACAUGGGAAGGCUUCCAAUGGCCUUCCACCUAUCAGCCUCCCAAUGCUCACCGUGACCUCUCACUGUCCAAAGGAACAAAAACACCCUCAAGGUACCUCUCAUGCCUCUCUGCAGCUGGAGGGACAGAUGGGUCCCUCCAGCCACAAGCAGGAGCCAGAGGUUAAAUCCAGCAGACCACAGACACCAGGAAGGCCCCAAUGUAUGCUCCACUGCAGCCAAGGAAGUAGCUCCUUUAUCUGGGACUCCAUGCAGCCAGUCUGAGGUCAGGAUCCAGGCCAUUAAGUUAUUAUAAACUAGUGUUUUUCCACUUUCAAAGGACAUUCUAAUUCCUGCCAAAAUGUUCAUAAAUUCUUAAAAAUGAAAGAUUCACAGUCUAAGGCCUACCUUCAAUUUGGACUUCUAGAUCAUUUGCACACAUAGGAUUUGAUUAUACAGUUUCAACAAUAUAUUAUUGAAAACAGAAACACAAGACCUUGUUUUUAAGAUACUUUUUUUGUCACAUCACAAAGCAUAACAGUU